GUGACUGGAGGAUGAUGGCUGAUAUUGGCCAACAGCUGGUUUUUCCUCCAGAAAUUGCUACAACCACCCUGAGACCUGACCUGGUGCUGUGGUCCCCUUCCCUAAAGAAGGUGUACAUCAUCGAGCUCACAGUACCCUGGGAGGACGCAGUGGAUGAGGGGUAUGAGCAAAAACACCUACGCUACGCCGAUCUCGCUGCUGAAGCACAACACCGUGGCUGGAGCGCUGAAGUCCGCCCAGUGGAGGUGGGAUGUAGAGGAUUUGUGGCAAGAUCUACCACCAGACUGUUCGCUGACCUGGGAGUCAGAGGCCAGAACCAGCGCUCAGCCAUCAAAGCUACAUCGGAGGCAGCUGAAAGAAGCAGCCAGUGGCUUUUCAUGAGGCGGAAGGACCCCUGUUGGGCCCCGAAGUAGCAAGCCUUCAGGUAUGCGGUCAGCUUCGGCUUGACUCAGGGAGUAGGACGCCCCUGCCUUGCAUAGUCCCACGAGAGAAGGUACCAUCUAUCUCGUGACGAGUCUGGACUCACGCAAGCACAGGUCUGAUCAGCCUGUAGCUGGUCACCUUGGGGAGGGUGUAUAGUGUGGAGGCCGAAACAUCCCAGGA